UACAGAGGUGGCAAGCGUUGUUCGGAAUUACUGGGCGUAAAGGGCGCGUAGGCGGUCUUGUAAGUCUUGUGUGAAAUCCCUCGGCUUAACUGAGGAACUGCACGGGAUACUGCGAGACUUGAGAUCGGGAGAGGGAAGCGGAAUUCCGGGUGUAGCGGUGAAAUGCGUAGAUAUCGGAAGGAACACCAGUGGCGAAGGCAGGUCUCUGGGCCACUACUGACGCUGAGAAGCGAAAGCAUGGGGAGCGAACAGG
rnacentral:rRNA from 1 species